rnacentral:rRNA from 1 species
GUGUAAUAAGAUAGACGCUGUUUUAAUUUAGUAGGUGAAGUUAAGGUGCUAGUAAAAAUUCUAGUUUAUGACUUGGGACGAUAAGACCCUAUGAAUUUUUAACUCUUUGGGUUUCAAGCAAUAAAUUCAAGCGGAUUUUUAACUGGGGCAGUAAAAGUAAAUUUAACUACAUAUAACAAAACCUGAUUUAGGGAAAGUAGAGCUAAAGUGUUACAGAAACCAAAAUACUCUAGGGAUAACAGCGUAAUUACAGCGGAGAGGUCUUAUCGAUGCUGUAGUUUGCGA